UGGGUGCAAGCCUGAUCCAGCCAUGCCGCGUGUGUGAAGAAGGCCUUCGGGUUGUAAAGCACUUUUGUUGGGGAAGAAAGCGUACGGAUUAAUACUUCGUGCGGAUGACGGUACCCAAAGAAUAAGCACCGGCUAACUUCGUGCCAGCAGCCGCGGUAAUACGAAGGGUGCAAGCGUUACUCGGAAUUACUGGGCGUAAAGCGUGCGCAGGCGGUUCGUUAAGUCUGCUGUGAAAGCCCUGGGCUCAACCUGGGAAUGGCAGUGGAUACUGGCGAGCUAGAGUACGGUAGAGGAAGGUGGAAUUCCCGGUGUAGCGGUGAAAUGCGUAGAGAUCGGGAGGAACACCAGUGGCGAAGGCGACCUUCUGGACCAGUACUGACGCUCAUGCACGAAAGCGUGGGGAGCAAACAGGAUUAGAUACCCUGGUAGUCCACGCCCUAAACGAUGCGAACUGGAUGUUGGGCACACUUUGGUGCUCAGUGUCGAAGCUAACGCGUUAAGUUCGCCGCCUGGGGAGUACGGUCGCAAGAUUAAAACUCAAAGGAAUUGACGG
rnacentral:rRNA from 1 species